rnacentral:sRNA from 1 species
GUUCAGGAACGUCAAACCAAGAACGCAUCACCGCACCAUCUGCACAAGAAAGUAUAGAAAGACAUAAGCUUUUUUCAGACACAUAUGGAUUAAGAGACAUGACACCAACAGAUACCACAGAGAAAUCAAAGAUAAUCAAA